UUCCCGUUUCUGAUUAACCACGUUUACUGGCUGUUCACAUGGUGCUUCAGGAAGUAGCAUUUUUAUUGUGGCGGCUCCUAAAUGAUGUUAGAAUUUAACCAUGUGUCACAAGUGAGCUACUUGGAAAAUCCCACAGCCUGACUGCUCUUUAUCUGACUAAUCCAGGAAUAAAUAAAGGCAAUUUCCUUUCAAGGUAAAGGAGGGCUUUGUUUUUAUAGUCAUGGGCUUAAGGUUCAGAUAGGGAGGAAAUGACAACAAACGGUCAGUAAAGGGUUUGGCUAUUUUGCAACUUGACCCCAAAACUAAGCCUUUUUUAUUUGCAUUCAAGCACGUCGGAAGCUGUGCGUUGUUUGAUGGGAAUUACCUACACCCGCUGUUCACACAGAUUAAACCACUAACUGAUGCUCUCAACUGCUCUAGAUUGAGUUUUUAAGAGAAAACACAUGAACAAAACCAAUUUCAAUCAAAUUAUAUCAAUCUAAAUAAUGAGGCUGUCAUGCACAAAUGUUUUCUUAUUUCUCGGGAACAUUAUCUUACUUCCCUUUUUUAUUGUAGUUCUGUAAACAAAGACCUAUCAAAACACACAAAUCAAAUGUACAAUAUAUAAAGUUUGAGUUCUUAGUACAAAAGUACAUACAACCUUCUUGUGUAUUCUUUUAGUUAACAGAAGCAUUUUAAAUGGCACUGAUUGGCUUAGAUAUAGCAACUUUUUAUG